ensembl:snoRNA
AUCCUUUUGUAGUUCAUGAGCGUGAUGAUUGGGUGUUCACAUGCAUGUGUGAGAUGUGCCACUGUUGAACCUUGUUAUGAUGUCAGCACAUUACCCAUCUGACA